AGUCUUUGGCAAGUCUCAGAAACUCGAGGAUACUAUGUCAAUGUUCGUGAAAUUGAUCUUUUUGGCUGUUCUGGUUGUUGCCGUGAUUGCUGUAUCACCUACACCACCUCAAGGUUGUGAACCCGGACGUCCCAAAAUCAUUGGAAACCAAAUUUGUUAUUGUGCCAGUGACGGGAUCCACCAAAUGUGCGUGGACCAAUCUUCACGGGAAGCAACACAAGAUGAAUAGUUAUUUCACUCAUGAAUUGAUAAAAAAUGACAAUAGUCAUAUACAAUAAAUGAUGACAAUAGUUAUUCAAUAGAAAAAUUUUGGGAUUAUAUAAUUUCUUGGAAUCAAUAUAGAUUCAUGACCAAUGAAAUGUAAUCAUUUUCAAGAGUGAAUAAAUUGCUCAAUUGUAUUAAUCAA